rnacentral:lncRNA from 1 species
AAAGUCUGCUUUAAUUUAAUUGUGCUUUAAAAAAUCCCAUCAUCUUCCAGGAAUUAGUUACAGUAUCGUUAGAAUUUGAAACCAUAGUCAGCAAAAGAAGAACCCCACAUAAAAGAAAUUGUAUGAUCAGGAUGCAGAAACCUAUGCAUGUACAGGUCUUUUCACCUUCAUUUCCUGGGCUGGGUAUUUCACGGUUAAUGGUGAAAGGAAGGGAUUUGGAGACAACCUGGUGCCCUGCUAGGUGGGGUGGAGGCUUUGCUGGGCGCCAUGGGAUGACAGCAUCCUCUUGACGCUGAUCCAGAGAGAAGGGUCAUCGCCAUGCCAGGACAGUGACAGCAGGGGCAGCUGCCACCCCCACUGGCACAUGCUGCUUGACUCGGUGCCUAAAGAUAACAAAACUAGAGCCAUAGGAAAACAGAAGAAUUCCAUUAGCGGGAGCGUUCAUCCUCGGGGAGAGGUGAGCAGGCUUCAACCUGCCAAAGUUCCGCUCAAUUCUCUCUGCCUUUAAAAUAAGAUGUAUUGGGAGAUGGAUGAGGCAGGCCAGGAGAGGAGAGGGGAUUUCACCAAUGGAAGAUUCCAGAAAGGGGCCAAGACACGGGAAGCUGCGGGGCAGACAGCGAAUACGUUUUCUGGUGAAAUCAGAGAUUCACAUGGACUGCAUGGAAAACCUGUGGGGUAGGAAACCGACUCCCCACCUCAAACAGGAUCUCAGGGAAUCUGAUGGGUGAGUCUUAGAACAGAUAGAUGCUCACAGUCCCCAUUUUAUGCUUCUUUUAGAAAAUGGUAUUUAACAGCCCAGAGACUUGUCACGUGAUGCAGGAAGCACACACCAUCCGGGCCCCUCAGGUACAUCUUCCUUCCCCAGGACAAACCCUACUUAGCAUGGAGGAGUUAACAAAAUCACAGCCCAAGAUGGUAUGACAGCAGCUUGAUUAAUAACGAUUAUCACAGCAGAUGGAAAACUGUAGACAAACUUUCCAUAGAAUGAGUCUACCACAAAAUUUCUUGAUGAGACAGAAGGAUGGUUAGCGACCACAGACUUAUUCCUUACUGAACGGAAUAAAAUUGCUGAAUUUCUACUCACCCCUUUUGAUAAUUUUCACAGAUCUCCAGUGGCUUACAUUU